rnacentral:rRNA from 1 species
UACGGGGGGGGUAAGCGUUGUUCGGAAUUACUGGGCGUAAAGGGCUCGUAGGCGGCCAACUAAGUCGGACGUGAAAUCCCUCAGCUUAACUGGGGAACUGCGUCUGAUACUGGAUGGCUUGGAUUUGGGAGAGGGAUGCGGAAUUCCAGGUGUAGCGGUGAAAUGCGUAGAUAUCAGGAGGAACACCGGUGGCGAAAGCGGCUCACUGGCCCGAAUCUGACACUGAGGUGCGAAAGCUAGGGUAGCAAACGGG